AUUUUAAAUAAUUUAAUUUAAAAUAAAAUUAUAUAUUAAUUUGCUGUAUUCUAAAAAUUUAAUUGAUUUAAUUAAGGGCAAAUCUCCAAAAUAGCACUUUUCUAAGUUUAUGUCACAAAAAUAGUCUUUAAAAACUAAAAUGACCAAAAUAGCAUUUUAUGUUUUGAAAAAUUUAAUUUAAUUUUAUUUUUCAAUAUUUGAAAUCUUAUCCCAAAACCUCACUCCCCAACUCUAAACCCUAAAACCUAAACUCUGAACCCUAAACCCUUAACUCUAAACCCUAAACCCCACCCCUUAACUCUAAACCCUAAACCACACCCCUAAACUCUAAACCCUAAACCCUAAACUCUAAACCCUAAACCUUAAACCCUAAAUCAUAAACUCCACCCCUUAACUCUAAACCCUAAUGUCUAAAUUAAUUUACCAUUAGGGUAUAAGUGUAUAUUUAUCUCUUUUGAUAAAACAUUA
rnacentral:lncRNA from 1 species